GUUCGGACUGUAGGCUGCAACUCGCCUACACGAAGUCGGAAUCGCUAGUAAUCGCGGAUCAGCAUGCCGCGGUGAAUACGUUCCCGGGCCUUCGUACACACCGCCCGUCACACCAUGGGAGUUUGUAACGCCCAAAGUCGGUGGCCUAACCUUUAUGGAGGGAGCCGCCUAAGGCGGGACAGAUGACUGGGGUGAAGUCGUAACAAGGUACC
rnacentral:rRNA from 1 species